rnacentral:lncRNA from 1 species
ACCACUUUUUGUGCACCUAGAAGAUAGCUAAAUCAUAAGAUUUCCCUGGAGUGUUAAUUAUAAUUGGAAGCAGAAUUUAAGACUGCUAUUCAGGUGAUGUGAUUUAAAACCUAGGAGACACUAGAAAUCUUGGUAGUGGAGACAACCUAAAGAUUUGCAUAAGGUCACCCAGCUAAUACAUUUAAAUGAACCUUGUGGAAUGUCUGGAAGAAGAGAAGGGAUAGUAAAGUCAAGAUUAGGAUUCCAUUUUUUAGAGCACUUUGUAUAGAUCCAUUAAGGGAGUAACUAGUUUUAAUGUAGGAAUUCAAAAUACAGUGUUCAAGAGUAGACAAUAUGUAAAACUAGGUUGUUUCAUCUGAGUUGGCCAAAAAGUUCAAGUUUUUUUGUAAGACAUUAAAAGAGUAAAUGAUUUUGUAAAGAGCUAGACUUUAGCAGGCCCUGAGUUCAUUUGUUUUCAUUAUUUUGUAAACAGGACCAAGAUGAAAAUUGCCCUCACUCAAAAGUUGAGUGCAUUUAAGCUAAGUUGAAAGAUGAGCUCUACUUUAGGAGUUUUAGUAGUCCCAACCAGAUUGAAGUGAGAUGGAGAAUACUACUUCCCUGGUAUGUAGGCUGUUUAAGAUUAGAGAGGAUUUAACCUGUGUAUGAAAGACGGGCCAGGUUUUCCAGUUCAGUAAGAGUAGACUAGACAGCUAAAUGUAAGAGUCUUAGGAAAUGGACUUUAAAUCUCCACCUAUAUUAGCAACUCUUAGAAGAAAGUCAUACUUCUGGGAUUAAAAAAGCAGUCUUGGAUUUUGCUCUUUUCUUCGUAUUUAUGUCCCCUUAGAUGUUGUAGGGAGCUUAUAAUUUAUUUUCUAAUCAAGGAGAAGUUUAAGUCUCUAAGAAUUAUUUCUCAUAACAUCAGAUUGAGUAACCCACCUUGCUGUUCAGCCUACAUCCUGGAAACAGAAGGCCAAUGAAAGGAAGAGGAAGGAGCACCAAUUCAGAAAGAGGGAGUCAUAAUAUAAGAUCUGCAAUGUAUUAACAUGGUAACUCUUUGAAGACUAACAGAAACAGGA